AUUGGACGCUGGCGGCAUGCCUUACACAUGCAAGUCGAACGGCAGCGGGGGAGAAGCUUGCUUUUCCUGCCGGCGAGUGGCGAACGGGUGAGUAAUACAUCGGAACGUGCCCUGUAGUGGGGGAUAACUAGUCGAAAGAUUAGCUAAUACCGCAUACGACCUGAGGGUGAAAGUGGGGGACCGCAAGGCCUCAUGCUAUAGGAGCGGCCGAUGUCUGAUUAGCUAGUUGGUGGGGUAAAGGCCUACCAAGGCGACGAUCAGUAGCUGGUCUGAGAGGACGAUCAGCCACGCUGGGACUGAGACACGGCCCAGACUCCUACGGGAGGCAGGAGUGGGGAAUUUUGGACAAUGGGCGAAAGCCUGAUCCAGCAAUGCCGCGUGUGUGAAGAAGGCCUUCGGGUUGUAAAGCACUUUUGUCCGGAAAGAAAUGGCUCUGGUUAAUACCUGGGGUCGAUGACGGUACCGGAAGAAUAAGGACCGGCUAACUACGUGCCAGCCGCCGCGGUAA
rnacentral:rRNA from 1 species